UACGUAGGGUGCGAGCGUUGUCCGGAAUUACUGGGCGUAAAGAGCUCGUAGGCGGUUUGUCGCGUUGUUCGUGAAAUCCCACGGCUUAACUGUGGGCGUGCGGGCGAUACGGGCAGGCUAGAGUUCGGUAUGGGAGACUGGAAUUCCUGGUGUAGCGGUGAAAUGCGCAGAUAUCAGGAGGAACACCGGUGGCGAAGGCGGGUCUCUGGGCCGAUACUGACGCUGAGGAGCGAAAGCGUGGGGAGCGAACAGG
rnacentral:rRNA from 1 species